rnacentral:rRNA from 1 species
ACAAGUUCCUUGGUCGAAAGGUCCGGGUAAUCACURAACCGUAUCGUGAUGGGGAUAGAACAUUGCAAUAUUGUUCUUCAACGAGGAAUGCCUAGUAAGCGUGAGUCAUCAUCUCGCGUUGAUUACGUCCCUGCCCUUUGUACACACCGCCCGUCGCUCCUACCGAUUGAACGUGCUGGUGAAGACAUCGGAUUGGCUGUUUCGCUAGGUUUCCUAGCGUCACAGCUGAGAAGUUGUUUAAACCCUCCCGUUUAGAGGAAGGAGAAGUCGUAACAAGGUUUCCGUAUUUAUGUGUUUACUUGCGGAUAAAAGGGCCACUGAAAAGGUGCUCAGCCCUAGUGAGCGGGUCAACUUUACCCUAACUUGACCCCUGCUUGCAACACUGU